rnacentral:rRNA from 1 species
CAUUAUCAAAAAAAGAAGAACCCUUUUUUCUUUAGGAGAUAUUUUUUCCAAUUUCCCUCGUGUAUCUACUCCACGUUGCUUCCACUAGGCUGGCACAUGUAUGAUUGAAUAUCAAUUGAUAUUCAAUGGUCUUUGUGUCCUUCAACCAAGUGGUUGAAGAACAGUCAGUGGAUAGCCUUAAUUAUAAGCAAAAACCUUUAUAGUCUGAUAUAGAUUUUGGUGUUCCACCAUAAUAAAAAUAAAACUUUCAACAACGGAUCUCUAGGCUCUUGCAUCGAUGAAUAACGCAGUGAAAUGUGAUAAGUAAUGUGAAUUGCAGAAUCUCGUGAAUCAUCGAAUCUUUGAACGCACAUUGCGCCCAGUGGUAUUCCAUUGGGCAUACCUGUUUGAGUGUCAGAAUCUUCAUAUUAAUCAAACUUUUAUAUUUUUAUCUAUAAAGAUGUUUGGAAUAAAAUUUGAGAGCAGUAUUAUCAUUAUAUCGUAUAAUACUUUCUUAAAAAUGAGAAAUAAUUUGUUUGGAUUUCCUUCAAAUACAUUUUGUAUGUGAUGAAAACAAAUGUAUAUGAAUGAACAACAAACAUGUUAGAUGACCUCAAAUCAGGUAGGGAUACCC